GAUGAACGCUGGCGGCGUGCCUAAUACAUGCAAGUCGAGCGAACGGACGAGGAGCUUGCUUCUCUGAUGUUAGCGGCGGACGGGUGAGUAACACGUGGAUAACCUACCUAUAAGACUGGGAUAACUUCGGGAAACCGUAGCUAAUACCGGAUAAUAUUUUGAACCGCAUGGUUCAAAAGUGAAAGACGGUCUUGCUGUCACUUAUAGAUGGAUCCGCGCUGCAUUAGCUAGUUGGUAAGGCAACGGCUUACCAAGGCAACGAUGCAUAGCCGACCUGAGAGGGUGAUCGGCCACACUGGAACUGAGACACGGUCCAGACUCCUACGGGAGGCAGCAGUAGGGAAUCUUCCGCAAUGGGCGAAAGCCUGACGGAGCAACGCCGCGUGAGUGAUGAAGGUCUUCGGAUCGUAAAACUCUGUUAUUAGGGAAGAACAUAUGUGUAAGUAACUGUGCACAUCUUGACGGUACCUAAUCAGAAAGCCACGGCUAACUACGUGCCAGCAGCCGCGGCAAUACGUAGGUGGCAAGCGUUAUCCGGAAUUAUUGGGCGUAAAGCGCGCGUAGGCGGUUUUUUAAGUCUGAUGUGAAAGCCCACGGCUCAACCGUGGAGGGUCAUUGGAAACUGGAAAACUUGAGUGCAGAAGAGGAAAGUGGAAUUCCAUGUGUAGCGGUGAAAUGCGCAGAGAUAUGGAGGAACACCAGUGGCGAAGGCGACUUUCUGGUCUGUAACUGACGCUGAUGUGCGAAAGCGUGGGGAUCAAACAGGAUUAGAUACCCUGGUAGUCCGCGCCGUAAACGAUGAGUGCUAAGUGUUAGGGGGUUUCCGCCCCUUAGUGCUGCAGCUAACGCAUUAAGCACUCCGCCUGGGGAGUACGACCGCAAGGUUGAAACUCAAAGGAAUUGACGGGGACCCGCACAAGCGGUGGAGCAUGUGGUUUAAUUCGAAGCAACGCGAAGAACCUUACCAAAUCUUGACAUCCUUUGACAACUCUAGAGAUAGAGCCUUCCCCUUCGGGGGACAAAGUGACAGGUGGUGCAUGGUUGUCGUCAGCUCGUGUCGUGAGAUGUUGGGUUAAGUCCCGCAACGAGCGCAACCCUUAAGCUUAGUUGCCAUCAUUAAGUUGGGCACUCUAAGUUGACUGCCGGUGACAAACCGGAGGAAGGUGGGGAUGACGUCAAAUCAUCAUGCCCCUUAUGAUUUGGGCUACACACGUGCUACAAUGGACAAUACAAAGGGCAGCGAAACCGCGAGGUCAAGCAAAUCCCAUAAAGUUGUUCUCAGUUCGGAUUGUAGUCUGCAACUCGACUACAUGAAGCUGGAAUCGCUAGUAAUCGUAGAUCAGCAUGCUACGGUGAAUACGUUCCCGGGUCU
rnacentral:rRNA from 1 species